GCUCAAAAGUGGAGGGUCAUUGGAAACUGGGAAACUUGAGUGCAGAAGAGGAAAGUGGAAUUCCAUGUGUAGCGGUGAAAUGCGCAGAGAUAUGGAGGAACACCAGUGGCGAAGGCGACUUUCUGGUCUGUAACUGACGCUGAUGUGCGAAAGCGUGGGGAUCAAACAGGAUUAGAUACCCUGGUAGUCCACGCCGUAAACGAUGAGUGCUAAGUGUUAGGGGGUUUCCGCCCCUUAGUGCUGCAGCUAACGCAUUAAGCACUCCGCCUGGGGAGUACGACCGCAAGGUUGAAACUCAAAGGAAUUGACGGGGACCCCCACAAGCGGUGGAGCAUGUGGUUUAAUUCGAAGCAACGCGAAGAACCUUACCAAAUCUUGACAUCCUUUGACCACUCUAGAGAUAGAGCUUUCCCCUUCGGGGGACAAAGUGACAGGUGGUGCAUGGUUGUCGUCAGCUCGUGUCGUGAGAUGUUGGGUUAAGUCCCGCAACGAGCGCAACCCUUAAGCUUAGUUGCCAUCAUUAAGUUGGGCACUCUAGGUUGACUGCCGGUGACAAACCGGAGGAAGGUGGGGAUGACGUCAAAUCAUCAUGCCCCUUAUGAUUUGGGCUACACACGUGCUACAAUGGACAAUACAAAAG
rnacentral:rRNA from 1 species